GUGUGAAAGGAUGGGACCACCACUGUCCUGUCAUCGGCAGUUGCAUUGGACAAAACAACAUUUAGUAGUUCUACUUCUACCUCGCUGUCGGAAUUCUGACCUUAGUCUAUAUCUGGGGGGUCAUUUUGGUAACG
rnacentral:snRNA from 1 species